rnacentral:rRNA from 1 species
UACGGGGGGGCAAGCGUUGUUCGGAAUUACUGGGCGUAAAGGGCUUGUAGGCGGCCAACUAAGUCCGACGUGAAAUCCCCAGGCUUAACCUGGGAACUGCGUCGGAUACUGGAUGGCUUGAAUUCGGGAGAGGGAUGCAGAAUUCCAGGUGUAGCGGUGAAAUGCGUAGAUAUCUGGAGGAAUACCGGUGGCGAAGGCGGCAUCCUGGACCGACAUUGACGCUGAGGAGCGAAAGCUAGGGUAGCAAACAGG